CGGCCGGGGUUCGGCUGGGGUUCGGCCGGGGCUCGGCGGCGGCCGGCCGGCGCAACCCGAUCGCUUCGGAGGGGCCGAAUCCCGCCUCGCCAUUGGCUGAGCCGGUCGUGGGGCUGUUUUUGCAAAAGGCAUGCCCAGCACGUCUCCGCCGCUGCCAGGCCGGGGCUGCCUUUAAACACCAUGAGAAUAAUACCAAAAAGCAGUUUGCAGAAGUCUUCUACUACUGGAGAGGCUUCCUCUGCAGAAGGGAGCAAGAUGGCUACCUCGUGGGCUUUGCUGUGAAGAAUGCAGAGACUAAUUAACACAGACUUAAAGGGGGAAAAAGGGUUAUAAAAGAAAACAAAAGGCCACAGAGGGAAAAGAAGGCCAAAGUUUUAAAGGUAAUGAGCUAUGGCUUUAAUCAUACUGAUUUUCCUGUCCUUUUGAAACCAUAUCUUUUCCUGUCACUUGGGGUAAAUUGGAAGCUAAGGCUGCUGGGAGGCAGUCUCUAGAUUUUCAGUUGGUAAAUGGAUUUUGAAGACACUCCAGUGUUUGGGGUGGGGGUAGGGUUCUUUGAUCUGCUGUGCUGCAAUAUUUGCAUUAUUUAUUUCCAGCUGCACGGAUCUGCAGGCUGAAAAGUUUAGUUCCAUUUUUGGGGGUAGACUUUUGCUCUCAGCACAUAUAUAUAUAUAUACAUAUAUAUGUCAAGUGGCAUAAGUGGCUUCUCUGGAAGGAAGGUGCUAUCAAAGGUGUCAUUUAAUGUCAGAUUUGUGUGGUAUAGUAUGAGUGCGCUAGCGGUCUUCUUGAAAUCUAAAUUGAGGGCAGGGUCUUCUGUAAAUUGGCAGGUGGUAUUUUCCAGAAAAAUAGUUCCAUCAUAGAACGUUUAUUCCCCCGUGACAGGUUUUUAGCCAGGUUGUAUCGGUUUAAUAAAAAUGUCUUCAACCUUGUGAAUGUACUCUUUUUCAAUUGUCUGAUUGAUGCCUGUUGUCUAGUAAGUAGCAGCCUAGCCCAGUUAUGGAGUGUGUAUUUUGGCCAGAAAGGGUUAAUAUGUAUCACACAGGUUUUACGAGACAUCACUAAAAGUAAGUUCUGAGCUACACUUUGUGAGUGUGGUUCAGUGUAAGCUUUUCUGUGGUUAUUUAAAAAUGAAAAGAAAUUUCAGAUUACUGUCUGGUGAGAAAAGGAAUGUGAAUAUUGAAAAUGUAAGCAGCCUGAGCAAACAUCCUAUUUCAUUAAAGAUGAUAUUUUGAGUCAUAAAAGCGUUGGUUUUUUUAUGACUGUGUAGAGCACAGUUCCAAUAAUUUGAUUUUUUCAGACAUUGUUUUACCUACAAUUACUUCAUAUUAUAAAUACAUAAAGGAGAAGCAAUUUCAUAUAUAAAAUACAUAUUGUGUAUAUGUGUGUGUGUGUGUAAAGCCCCAGAGCAGAAAAGGUUAAAAAAAAAAUCAAAAGAUUGAACAGGGUGGGUGACACUUCAGUGUGGGUAUUACAUUCAAAAUCGUACCUCUUUGAUUUUCCCAGCUGCAUUGUAUACCGGUAGACUACCAUACAUUAAUUGUAACCAUUUUGGUUCCCUGAAAAUUAGCUGAGCUAAAGAAUGAGAUCUACAUUGUAUCCUAUUUCUCAGUAAUCAGAUCCUCUUGGAUAUUGGAUUUUGUCGUGGACAUGUUAAACGAUUAUAUGUGCUUACUAGGUCUUAUACAUAAAUAUAAAAAUUUAGCAGUCUCCUCUCGUGGGGGUUCAUUUAGUAGUAAAGGAAAGCAAUCAGUGUGCCCAGUGUAAAUUCCCAUUUGCCCUACCAGAGUGAGAGACCAGGCUAUUUACAAAGCCGAUUUGCUUCAUAUUAAGGUAGUUUAUCAAUAAUAAAAAAAACCCCACCUCUAGCCCUAAUCCUUUUAUUUCCAAACUGUGAAAACCCACCUCUAGUUUUAGGAUGCCAGAAGAAGCCUUUAAAUCUUCCUUAAGAACAGUCGUUCUGCUUCCCCUCCCGGACUCCCCCCACCCUUGCCUUUCCAUCCCUCCCAUGAAAAAUUGCUGUCACAGAAUGUAUGAAGCUCUAGUGAUGAAACUCAUAAUAGAUUACAGUGUGAGAGUGAGGCCUUUCUAGAGUGAAUGAUUAUUACAUUCCCUAUGUUCCAAGAUGGCAUUGGAGUUAGAUUGUUUUCAUGUUUAUUUUGUUAGAUUUGCUGGGGUCCUUGAAGUCCUAUUGUACUUGGAGUUCAAAGCCUACAGCUGUGGACCACACUCUGUAUAUUCCAGGUUCUUUGUAUAUCCUAUUUUUAUUGGGGAGCUGUCCGUGAUCUCUCACAGCAAGCAAUAUUAAAUGAUCACUCUUGAAAUUUUUAUUUUACUGAUCGGUGCUGCUGAAUUAAUCUGGUGGAAUACACCAAAAGAGUGACCCUUAGAAUCUCGGUGCAUUUGGCAUUUAAAAAUCUUUCUUUUCUUUCGGUAUGGGUUACACGGACAGUUUUUGUCUUUGCUCUCAAAGGAAUUUAAUUCCCUGGCUUCAAGGACAAAAUACUUGCUGAUUUUUGCUUAGUGCUGAAAUUUAGUUGCUGUCCAGGUGCAGAAUAAUGCGAAACCUUAAAGAAAGUGUUUCUGUUGUUUAAAUUGGAUCAUUUAGUCCAUAUUUGGUGAGGGGGCAUCUUUCUAAUUGAAAUGGUCAGGUCAGGACUUAAAAGCACUUCUUGUUAGCCGCUAGCCUGGUAGUCUUUUCCUGUAUCCAGUGGGUCCAGGAGAGAAGAAAGGGGGAGAGAAUGCACGGAUAAAGAUUUCAACUUUCUUUCCCCGUCAAAUUUCCCUCCCCUUGUUCCCGGACACCUUGUCCAAGACCGUACUGGUUUCCUAGCCUCUGGUUUCCUUGUGCUUCUGAAAGCUUUUGUUUGUUACUUUUCAGCAAGGCAGAGUCCGCACCAUUUAGCCAUUCUCAAAUGCCCUUUGUUAAAAUCUGGAAGGGAGCACCAGGCAGAUCCAGAAUUGGUUAUUUUUGAGAUGUCAAUGUUUGAGGAGAAUUCCAAACCUCAUUACGACUGGUAAAACUCUACCUCUUUCAGCCAAGUAUAUGGAAAUGUACAUAAGUGCUGUGGGGGGUGGGAUGGAUACCUAAGCACCCUAGGGUGUGGGAUUAGUGCAGGGGUGAGGCAGUGAGGAGUGAAAAAAUAGGGUGGGUCAGGGGAGCACAGUCCAGGAAACCUUCCUGGAGGAGGAGGGAUUUCAUUAGGGUUUUUGAAUAUGGGUGAGCGUGGCGGGUGAUCUGUCAUAUGUAGCGGGAGGGAGUUCCGGGCAGGAGGGAGCUCUUGAGCAAGGGGACAUCACCGGGUGAGGUACUUAGUUAUGUAGAGUCAUCUGUUUGAAUGUAUUUAUCAUAACAUGAGGUAACUUGUUUCAUCUUGAUAUGUACGUUUGAAUCUUCUAGCAGUACGGCAUCUUUUCCCGGUAGAAAAAUGGUGUGGGUAACUAUAAAUGAGAGCAAAUGAUCCAGAAGAAGGAAUAAAAAAGGUCUUUUCCUCUUGGCAAAAGAGCAUUUGGAAAUGUCUUGAGUAGAUUGUUGUAUUGUGCUUUUGUUUCCUAAAAGGAAACUACCCAUAAAAAGGCAGUGUGUAUAUAUUUACAGAUUCAACACAUAGCGGUGGGAGGGAGAGCCUCUUUCUUUUCCAGUCUUUCCUCCCCACCAUUUCGUCCCUCCGCCUUCUUUCAUCUACCUGUUUGGGGUUCUUUGUAAAACAGGUGGCUGCAGGUGGAUACAGAGAACCUAUAGAAGCAUUAUCUGAGAGAACCAGGCAUUCACAUAUCAUAGGAGAUUGAUAGGCAGUGGUUCUACAGCUACCAAAAUAGACAUCAGUGGAAAACCAGUCCAACCACCCACAGACCAAGACCCGUUAAAGAAAAAAACUGCACUCCAUGAUAUCCCUGUUAGGCUCUGCACUGACAUAAGUCACCUGAAUGGUCACAAAAUUCACCUCUUUUGGUGGAGAUACUAAAUGAAGAGGAGCUGAGGGGCAGUCGAGUUUGAUGCGGCAGUCAACCACACGGUAAAAUACAGCAUGGCUGCAGAACUUGGAUUAACAGUGCCUCAUUUGGGAGGAUAAGAAGAUAAAAUGAUGUCUAUCCUGUUGGUUUUUAGUCUACAAAGUCCUUCUUUUUGCUUUGUUUCAAAUAUCAGAAUGUAAAUGUUUUUAGUCCUUUUUAAAUUAAAGUGUCUUAAAGCAAA